rnacentral:rRNA from 1 species
GGUGGCGCUAGCAAGAAGGAUACACCUGUUCCCAUGCCGAACACAGAAGUUAAGCUUCUUUACGCCGAUUGUAGUGAGGGGUUGCCCCUUGUGAGAGAAGGAAGUCGCC